rnacentral:rRNA from 1 species
AACGAACGCUGGCGGCAGGCUUAACACAUGCAAGUCGAGCGGGGACUUCGGUCCUAGCGGCGAACGGGUGAGGAAUGCUUGGGAAUCUGCCCAGUAGCGGGGGAUAACGUUUCGAAAGGAACGCUAAUACCGCAUACGCCCUACGGGGGAAAGGGGGGGAUCUUCGGACCUCUCACUAUUGGAUGAGCCCAAGUCGGAUUAGCUAGUUGGUGGGGUAAAGGCCUACCAAGGCGACGAUCCGUAGCUGGUCUGAGAGGAUGAUCAGCCACACUGGAACUGAGACACGGUCCAGACUCCUACGGGAGGCAGCAGUGGGGAAUAUUGGACAAUGGGCGAAAGCCUGAUCCAGCCAUGCCGCGUGUGUGAAGAAGGCCUUCGGGUUGUAAAGCACUUUAAGCGAGGAGGAAUGGCUGAGGGUUAAUAACCUUCAGCAGUGACGUUACUCGCAGAAUAAGCACCGGCUAACUCUGUGCCAGCCGCCGCAGUAACAC